UCACCAAUAUAAAUUAAUUGACUUUGUAAACUGCAAAAAUAGGCUAAUACACUGUGCUAGCUAGCUAGCUAGUCUAACGUUAUGUCAUGCAAGGUCAUGAACCGGUGCACAUUCAUUGGACUCAGACCAAUGUUUAUCUUUGCUGGCGUGGUCCUUUUUACAUCUCAUAGCUUGCUAGGUAUGACAUUUAUUGUAUUGUAUUUUUUAUCUUUUCUUACUUGCAGCUCAAGUCACGCAUUUUCUGGAAUAUCCUUAUUACCUCACCAUAUCCUUGCCUUACAGUAGCCUAUUUCAUAAUUUAUCAGGACGUACCUGUGUAUACCUGUGUCCACCUAUCUCUGUCACCUGUAUUACGCCCUCCACAGGCUCUGCCUGUCUUUCUGUUUCUGUCUUUCUGUUUGUCUGUGUUUGUGUGCAUCUCCAGGCUCCAGUGAUCCAGUCCAUCCUACCUGCAGAAGAUCCACACCAGCGGUCCAGUUUCCCAAUAACUUGCGGUGACAUACCCUGGUUUGCCCUCCACUCACCGCCAGAUCGUUGUUUUUACAACCUGAAACAUCCCACUCGCCAUCUGCCCAUUUGUCUGUCUGCUCUUUCAACUCAAUGAUGAGUGAUUUGCAGUUGAUGGAAUUGGAGGAUGAGCUCAGGAGUGCAGAUACAUUUAUUGAACAUCUCAAGACAGAAGAGACAGAGAAGAACAGACAGAAAACUAGGACUGCAUCACCAAAACCUGUUCAUUGGAAGAAGAGGGACCACAAUGGGGACAUUGUUCACCAGCGCCCACGAGCCCUUAGAAAGCAGUCAACAUCAAGGCCAGACAAAGGAGGACAUGUUUCUUCUUCACAGCCAUUAGACCAUGGCCAACACCUAGACCAUGCUUUUAAUAUGCAGCAGCUUGAGGACCUUCUACAGGACUCAGAGAACAUUGAAUCGCAAGAUUUUGUUCAGCAGCCACCAUUGUCCAGUUGGAGUCAAAGGCAGAAAGAGGUCCAACAAUGUUGGCAACAGGCGAGGCCACAGAACCUUGACAAUUUACUUUCUGCUGAGAACAUCGUCCAGAUGACAUGCAAUCACUGUCACGUGAAAGAAGCUGUCAUCCGUU